rnacentral:tRNA from 2 species
GGGUAGGUACCGAAGCGGUCAAACGGGACUGGCUGUAAACCAGUUGGCUCUGCCUUCGGGGGUUCGAAUCCCUCCCUGCCCACCA